ACUGUGGCCCAAGUCAUGAUGGUGUUUGGUGCUUCCCUGCCAUCUCACAAAUCACAAAGAUGACAGAUCAAUUCGAGCUUGCAGAAAAAAUUCCAUUAAGGGGCAAUAGAUUUUAUUAACUGCUCAGGUGAGAGUCUGACUAGCCACCUACUCCUCAAAUGUGCAUCUGGCACCAAAGCUGGGAUCUGGAUCGGAAGGAACUUCUUUUUGUAUAUGGAUGUUACCUUUCAGAAGCUCUGAACUACCUCCAGGUACUCAGAACAGCAGUAGUCACUGCUUAAGGGAUUUUAUAAAUGGGGGGCUUUGGGACUGAGGGUAAGAGGGACAUCUAGGUCUGCCUUCCCUAAUAGGAAUCUAAGAAAAUGCAGGGAAGACCUUACUGUAUCAUUUCCAUGCAGCCUUCCCUUAGAAAGAAUUUAAGGUGUUUUACAAUAAAGGACAUUUGUGCAAUAGAAUUUAUGAACCAAAAUAGAAAAUCUGGGCCAGAAGGAAAAGUUCAGCAAACUGAAAUGACAAGCCCAAAUUCUAAUGUAUUUGCUCUGAUUUGGAUAAGAGCUUCCUGAUAGCCAAAGCAAUAAAAGAAACAUAAGUUACAUAGUUUUGUUGUAGAAACAUGCAUACAAUGUCUUUCAGCAUUAUUUUCCAUGGGCUAAAUACCGGAAUAAAUGCAUUAUGUAACACGUAACAUAGCAGGACACUGAGCAAUGGACCAUGCCAAGAUCCAGUGGAUGGGGAUGUAUUUCUAGCAUCUGGCACAGGGCCUGGAACAUGGAGACAGCAAUUAGUGUGUGUUAAAGAAAUAGAUGGCUAGACUCAAUCAAGAUGCAGCAGAAGGCAGGGAGGGGCAAGGAGUCUGGAGCCACAUUGUCUAGGCACAGCCCCCGGAUCUGCCACUUACUUGUAAAUUACUCAAACUCUCUGCCUCCAUUUGUUCACAGAUAAAAUGAAAACACAAAUUCUACUGAACUCACAAGGUUGUGGUGAGGAUUAAGUGAUGACAUAACCACUGAAUAAAUAUAAAGUGAUGUGCCUUUUAAGAUUCCUUCAUUGGCUGCUGUUUGGUCAGAAGGUCACCUCCUGUGGUCCCAAGGUCAUUGAUAAAGAUGCAGUGAUGUCUGAAGCUUGGCUGCUGUAGCCAGCACUGGCCCAACAGAUGGCAAUGUUGGCAAAACAACCCCCAGAUGAAACUGGGAAAGGUGAAUCUUGCUGCUUCACCCACUCAUUUCCUUGCCUAAAUAGGGUCAUCUGUCCCUGAGCCUCUGAUCAAUACGGUCCGACAGAUGACGUCACAGAUCAUGACACUUUGGAAUCCAUGUGUGUGGAGAUCUAGCCUCACGUUUCCCACAGAGAACGUGCACUUCAACAAAGAACAAGAGAUCAUAUUUUGUCCAACAAAGACAGAAGAAAAAUUAUUUCAUUCCAAUGAUAAAAGGCUUCUGAAGAAGAAAUCCAUUCUUCGUUUUGCUUUGCUUUUUAUUCAGUUCCCUAAUAAGGGUUUUUUGGCUGAUUAAUUGAUUGAUGUGGCAAAUAAAUACUAAAGUUGAGCCCUACGUAUCCCCACUCCACCGCCUACCCCGUAUCAUCCCCCG
rnacentral:lncRNA from 10 species